rnacentral:rRNA from 1 species
AAUGUUUUAAAAAAAUCAAUGGCCGCAGUACCUUGACUGUGCUAAGGUAGCAUAAUCAAUUGGCUUUUAAUUAAGGUCUAGAAUGAAUGGGAUAAUGAAGUUAAUCUGUCUUAGUUGCUUUUAUUAAAAUUUAUUUAAAAGGUGAAAAUACCUUUUUUAAAAAUAAAGACGAGAAGACCCUUAGAAUUUUUAUAUUUUUUUGUUGGGGCGACAGUUUAAAAUAUAAUCUUAAAUUUAUUGUAUAUAUAACGAUUUUUUUAAUAGAAAUUAAAUUACCUUAGGGAUAACAGCAUAAUUAAUUAUUUAGUUUGUGACCUCGAUGUUGGACUAGGAACUAUAUGGCUAACCGUCUAAUUAGAUUUGUUCUGUUCGAACA